rnacentral:rRNA from 1 species
GACGAACGCUGGCGGCGUGCUUAACACAUGCAAGUCGAACGGAAAGGCCUGCUUUCCCUUGUGGAUUGCGGGUACUCGAGUGGCGAACGGGUGAGUAACACGUGAGUGAUCUGCCCCCAACUUGGGUAUAAGCCUGGGAAACUGGGUCUAAUUCCCGAUAGGACUGCAGGGUGGUGCCUGUGGUGGAAAACGAUUUUCUAGUGGGUGGGGAUGAGCUCGCGGCCUAUCAGCUUGUUGGUGGGGUAAUGGCCUACCAAGGCGGCGACGGGUAGCCGGCCUGGGAGGGUGGACGGCCACAUUGGGACUGAGAUACGGCCCAGACUCCUACGGGAGGCAGCAGUGGGGAAUAGUGCACAAUGGGCGGAAGCCUGAUGCAGCGACGCCGCGUGGGGGAUGACGGCCUUCGGGUUGUAAACUCCUUUCGACCGCGAGGAAGCCACCUGGUUGGAAGGGUGGUGACGGUAGUGGUAGAAGAAGCACCGGCUAACUACGUG